ACCUAACAUUUCAACUCUCUGAUACCAGAUUGACCAGCUGAGCAGCUUGGGGCCAGAAUUCAAAAAGGAUGGCUUGUGCUGUGGGAGCUAAGAGCAGGGGAAGGGAAUUUUUGUACUCAGUGUUUACAUUCAACAGGAGCAGCACUGAUUCCAAUCUGCUGAUUAGAUGAGAUGCAGUUUGCUUGGCAUUGCAUUUUUAGUUUGUUGUGCUGCAAUAAAACAAGCAGGGCAGUUGCCUAGUAUGCUGCUUAGGUAAUUGGCUUGUUUGGCUGUCUACCAAGCUAGUUAAUGUCAGCUGAUACAAUUACAUAUUGUGGGUGCAUCUUUUACAUACCUUGACAGAAAGUUCUAGUUCUCAUUGAAUUGGGUUUGACUUCAGAUAGCAUUUUAGCAGUAUUUAGAUUUGGCCUUUAUGACUGGAGCCAUGUGCUGGCUUUAAGAGAAGGAUUAGGAGUUAUGAAUGUAGUUAUGGAUGUAACUGUGUUUAUUUCAUUUGCAUAUAGCAAGUAUUUUGCCCUCAAAAAACUUGUGAAUCCUACAAUGUCUUUAUCUUUAAUUAUUUGCUUUAUUAUAAUGUAGAAACCGAGGAUGUUGGGAUCCAUUAUGUGUGUAUAGAUGAAAUAUUCCCAACUUACCUCUAAAUAGGAGAAAACUGCCAGAUGUAUGCUGAAUACUCUGGUUUGUGUUAUAACUUUUAGUUCUUUCUAGGCAUAGAGAUCUUACUACAAUCAUUUUAAAUUUGUUCAUAAUAGGUAGCUCCCAUAUAUUAUUCCUGCAGUGCCCACAUAAAUUUGAGAAAAUAUUAUUUCCUGUUUAUACGUACACAAAUUAGAUAAAAUAAUUUGCCCAGGUUCAUAGGGAGCUGGUGUCUGAGCCAGGAAUUUCUCAUCAUCUGAGGCUAAAUCUGAUACCAGCCAUAAAUAAUCCCUAACAGAUCAUAGUUUCUAGAUCUCUAAUUUUUUUUCAUUCUAGAGGUGUUGCUGUGCUUGGAAUAGUGUCUUCAGAGAACUACAUGGACUUCUUUGAGGAAGAAACUUCAUGUAAAGGUUGCCCAAGACUACUUGGGGUCUUUGGGGAUAGGAAGGUCAAAUUUUAAGCUGUUGGCUGUAAAUGGAAAGCUCUAUGCCAUUGGUGGUCAAUCCCUUUCCAAUGUGGAGUGCUAUAACCCAGAAAAUGACUGGUGGAGUUUUGUAGCAUCCAUGCCAAAUCCUCUUGCAGAAUUCUCAGCUUGUGAGUGCAAGGGCAAGAUUUACGUUAUUGGAGGAUACACCACACGAGACAGGAAUAUGAACAUCUUGCAAUACUGUCCUACUUCUGAUUCUUGGACCAACUUCGAACUCUGUGAUGUCCACGUUCGAAAACAACAGAUGGUCUCUGUUGAAGAAACAAUCUAUCUAGUAGGAGGUUGUAUUCAUGAACUUGGACCAAACCAAAAAUCCAGCCAAAAUGAAGAUGUGCUAACUGUGCAGUCUUAUAACACUGCUACCAAAGAAUGGCUCUACCUCAAAGAGAACACAUCAAAGUCGGGUCUUAACUUGACUUGCACUCUACACAACGAUGGAGUUUAUAUAUUGAGUAGGGAUAUUACUUUAUCUACGAGCUUGGAGCACCGUGUUUUUCUGAAGUACAAUAUAUUUACAGACAGUUGGGAGUCACUAAGACGCUUUCCAGCCUUUGGACAGAACAUGCUGAUCUGUUCUAUGUACUUGCCUGAUUUGUGAGAUGUGUAAUGGGAUCAGGUUUUUCUUUGCAGCUCAUUAAUCAUUCUCAGAAGAAAUAUUACUCCCUCUAAGUAAUUCCAGUUUCAGAAUGUAACGUGGUUGCAUAACAUAGGCAUAAAAUACUGAUUCUUUUAAUUAAAAAAAAAAAGUUUCAAAAUCAUUAUUAAGAGCAAUGGUUCUAGAAACAGUUCUAAGGUUUGUUUAAUUUUCUUUUAUUUUGUAUUUAAAUUUUACCAAAUAUUGUUUACAACUUUAAACGUAAAUUUUUAUGUUGGUAACUACUGAAGGAUAUUUCAGUAGGAUAUAUCCAAAGGCAAAACUGAUUAUUUUCAUUUUAUUCUCCAUCAUUAUAGACAACUCAGAAGAGAGAGUAUACACAGUGAUAGUGAAUAUAAUUCAAUAAAAUAAAUACUAUGUAAAAUACUAUGAAAAAAUCAAAAAAGGAAUUAUUUUUUUUAAAUACAAUUUUUACACAAACUGUGUUCUAUUGAAUGCAUAAUGUUUAAAAUUGCUUACCUUCUCAUGUUAUUCUCUCUUCUACAGUCACAAAUGAGAGUUUUAAGGGUUCCAACAAGUAGCUAUCACCAAGAAACAUGCCCUGAAUUUUUUGUCAUAAAGUGCUUCAUGAGAGACUGGGAAGAAUUACCUGGAGACUGAAGUUUCUGUCUGGAUUUUAGACAUGGCUUUAAUGGCAGUUAGCAAAAUUUAUGGUUGCCAUUAUGACAGAGGUAAAAAGUCUUCAAAUUCAAAUGAAGGAGUUCGCUCAUCUUCCAGAAGAUUUUCAGUUUUAGUUAUCGUGUUUGCUGCAGUGCUGAAUAUUAAAAAUCAAAUUAUAGAAACAAAGAAACAGAUGUUAGCAGCAAGCUGCAUUGUAGGAAGAUAUACAUGAGUACACACUGCAGUGAAUCUGCACCAGGCACUUACUGCUUGAUAACAGUCACCUAGGGCAAAAGAGGAGACUGAAUCACUUGAUGUGGCAGGGUUUAUUUUUGUAAACAACUUCCUUAUGAUACCAGCUCUAACAGGUGUAUGUGGAUGUUAACUUUCUUGUUUUACCAGUAGCCUGGUAGAUAUAACCAGUUUGCUUCCUAAAGUUGUUAGUUUUUCCAAAGAACUCAAGGGGAUAGUCACCAUGGAUUCUCUGUGUGUUUCCUAGUUUCUGCAUAUUGCUUGAGACACUUUCCUUUUUGGAGCUGACAGGUUCCUUUCUCCUGAAGGGCUUGUUUAUUAUCAUGGGAAGGUUUCACAACUGCAGCCUUUGGGAAAGAGAGAGCCAGAUUAGGUGUAUAUUGAAUAGAUUGCACUUAUGUUGAUUUUGUGCCAGUUCUUUCUUGAAAUGAUGAGAUUUUAUUCACUUGAAUGUGUUCCUAUCAAGGGGAGAUAUUUUUUUCCCCUUUUGAAAUUCAGGAAUCUGAAUUGACUUUUGAAAAUGGAUGCCUGUUGUGCAGAGAAGGAAUAGACUGCAAUGGUUCCCUCGAGGCUCUUUUAACUCCCAUCUUUUCCAUGAUCUUGAAUUAAAUUGAUGCUAGGAGAACUAUCGGACAAUUCUCUCUCGCACAUUCUGUGCUUAGGUGCAUAAUUGAUACUUCUGAUCAUGUAUAGCAACCCAAAUAGAAAAUUCCAGAAAACUGUUUAUCUAGUGUGGACACUAAGCAAGGUACUUUGAAUAUCCAGGGUUAACCUUCUGGGUGGAAUUUUUGCAGUCUGGCAGAGCAUGUUAUGCUUAAGCCCCAGAUAGUGUCUGCCAUUUAUCUGUAUGCAUGAAUUUCACAAGUUUUAGCUUUUGUCUAUUUGUUAGUUUUCAUUCCUUUGAAAACCUCAUGCACUGAGCGGCUGCUGUGUUAUGGAAAUUGCAUCAGACCAAACAAUGGCUUUUCUACAAUGAAGAAAUGGGAUGACUUUCCUGAAACUCUUAAGUGAUUUGUUGUUAACUUUUAUAAGUAUUUUAGAAUAAAUAUAAGCACUGUUCUAUUGUCUGGUUAUAAAUUAUUUCAUCCACAUUAUUUUACUUCCUCCCUUUUCAUUUCCGUGUACGCUACCCUACUAUAAUCCAUUAGUAAAUUCAGAUUAAUAAUGGUGGAGGAAAUCAUAUUUGAGUUGUGGCAUUCUCUCACCUGGCAAAUUAUCUGUGAAGAACUCACAUUUCCAGAUUUUCAGUUUAGUAUGUCUAAUCCUUUCAAACUCAUCCAUUCUGUAGAGCAGGCAUUACUAUAAAAGCUGUGAUAUGGUGCUUUUAAUGUGGUCUUUUUCAUGAGAGGCCUUCUGAAACUGGAAUUAUAUAUGUGUUGGUUUCAGCUUCUGAUAAUUAGGUGACCAUGAAGAAAUGUGGAGAACCUGCUCAAAUAUAGAAAACAGCUCAGACUGUAAAUGCAAUCAGACAGUGCAAUCAAUCUGUGGAGAAAAUUUAUCAAUAAUGACAAUUAACUGUGCUACAGUAGCAAAUCAAAGCUGGUGUUGAAUUGAGUAGUAUGAAACUAAUUAAGCUAAGUGGACUGUAUAACUACAGGCUGAAAUAUAGUUUUUAAACAAAAUUAAUUACACAAAAAUAUGCAAUGGAUAUUCCUCGUAAAUCAGGAAAAAAAUCCUACCUGUAAUGGCUGUCCUUUGCCCUUAUUUUCUUUCUUUCUAACAUUUAAUAUUCCACAUAAGACACUACUGAACAGUUUCUGCCCUUCUGGGCAAGGAAAAAUGGUUUAGAGUUACUAGCAGCGAGUAGUUUAAAAGCUGCUUUUUAGCCAGUGGAAAUGUUCAGUGAUUCUGUGUGCUGUGUUUGCUUUCUUGGUGGGGAAAAAGUCCUAUCUUACAGACAGAAAAGCUUCUUCUGAAAAACAACAGUUGAAGUGUAGAGCAAUGGUCUUGAUGAUCUCACCAGCUACAAAAUUCUUCAGUGUUAUCCUGAUAUCCACAUUCUAACUUACCAUGUGGCCUUGGAGAGAUUGUUCUACCUGCUUGUGUCUUCACUCCCUAAGACAACACAUGAGUAAGAAUGCUGAUCAUGCAGGGACACAUGGUUUUUGUGGUGUGGCAGUGUUUGUGAGAUCUCUUGAAGGUGUGAAGAAGAACAAAUAUCCUGCUUGCAGUAAUUAUUUACUUAGUUGUUAAAAUUGUUUGAUAGAAAGUGGCAAGAUAGAAGACAGCUAGUAACCUCCUUUUGGUCUCUGCUAAUUAUCUUCAUUUUGAACUGAUGGCUAUUUCCUAUCUGUUUCUUUUGUUUCUGUCGCUUACUAGCCUGCAGUUUGCCUCAAGUAUCCAAAUUUAGAACUGCUACUUUCCUGCCGUGGCUUGGUUAUCCAGUGCUUGCAUAUCCACUUUUCAUCUUCAUGGACUGAGUCUGCUUGAUACUAGCCAGUAAAAGCUGACUAUAGUAAAGGAUGAUCCCAAGUUGAAAGAAAGAAUAACAGGAAGAACAACAGCCUCUAAGUCCUGAGGGAAAGUCAUCAUUUUAGUGAGAAAUGCUAGAGAGAUUCAGAAUAUGUGGAAAUUGACCCAUAUCAAUAAUGUGAGAGUGAAAGUCACGGACUGCAGUGAUGACAGCGUACAACGUGCUCGAAGACCUACAAGAGCAGAGAUUUAUCAUCACAAUCACCCCUAUAAGAUAAGGUCAUCAAGAUAGACUCCCAUUCAUUACUUUGCAAACAGCAUGGAUAUAGUGGUAAUCUGCCUUUGGAGGAACAAGAAAGAAAAUCUCUUUCACAUAAAAUUUCCUUGAAUUUGGAGUUUGUGAUCUGAUUUGUAGAACAAAAAUAAGAUAACUGCCUUGAUACUCUUAACAGAUAUCAGGAUUGUUAUGCAUUAGUAUGCUGAAAUGAAAUGCUCGCAUUAAAAAGGUACAACACAAAGGAAGUGAACUCUUCCUGACUGCACAAAGUUCAAGACCACACUGAGCUGUAUGCACAUUAACUUUGCUUACAAUUUGUCACCAAAGGAGAAAUUAUUGACAUAUGGGAAGACUUGCUGCUUCUGAACGCUUUGAAUGAAUAAGUGCCUAUGGGAGGUAAUGCUCUGCAGUGAAAGGAUUUAUAUCUUCAGGUAUAUUCUAUGUUUAGGUUAUUAAAAUCAUCCAGGAGGUUAAGGAGGCAACAGUGUGUUUUUAUUUGAUUUCUUGAUAAUUUUCUCAGCCUAAGCAGAACCAAAGUUGUCUAACUCCAGAAGAACCUAAAGGAGAAAGGUAUGCUUUGAAGAACCAAGGUUCCUUUUGAGUUCAGUCUUACUGAUUCUGAUGAAGAAAGUGUUACUUUUGUACUAGCCCAUAUUACAAGAUUACUCUGCAAUCUUCUAUGCAGUCAGUGCAGAAAGAUGAUUAUAUGUGGACUGAAUUUUUGAUUCAUCAUCAGUCAGUUAAGCUUUGUUACAUUUCAAGCCUAUGGAUUUAAUCAAAUGAGACUUCAAGACUGGAGGUCAUUCUGGAGAUCUCAGCUUAUGCUUCUAAAGUGUUAUUUUCUUUUUCUUUUCAUAUAAGAGCUUCUUUUCAUACACUAUUUUGUUCAAGGAUUGGGAUUUGGUGCUCUGUCUUCAAGCAAGGGUAAGUCAUGUGGAAGAACUAGAAAAGGACAAAACAAUUUAAAAAAAUUCAUAACCAUGAAUAUAUUGGUUGGAAUUAUGUUCCUUCAGGUUCUCUUUUGACAUUUGGACUUUUGGUCUUUUCUAUUCAAAAACUUAACUUAACAGGUAGACGUCGUUGGUGGUGCAGAGUCUGGCUGGAGACCUGUA